AUUUUGAGAUUUCUAAGCCAGUCCUUAUAAUUGGAUCCGGUCAGUCGGUUGGUCUCAAGAAUACGGGUCAAAGGGUUUGAAGCCGACAUUGUAUCUGCAGAGAGUAAAGAUUCUAGUUAGACUUUUGUACUUGAUCCUAAUCUGUUCUAAGGUCUUUUAGAACAAAUGUUACUCCCACUAUUUUCUCGAAUCCCUCACACUCCCCUGGUAGGGAAACGGAAAUCCCACACGACUAGGGUUUCUAGUGGGUACUGCGGUCCCACCGAUUUACAUGCCACCUCACCUAACAGUUAUUGGUGACACAUAAAUGGAUGAGUGUACAACUCUUGUACAAUGCUUCUCAAGCAUGUUGCAGUAUAACUUGGUCUCUAAGCCAUGAAGACCUCACCUAACAGUUAUUGGUCCCAUUUCUUAGUUAAGUCAGACCCACCGUAUAACCGUAGGAAUAAAGUCGUCUUGGGUCCUCACCUAACAGUUAUUGGUGCCCAACCCCACCUUUA
rnacentral:lncRNA from 1 species